rfam:Parcubacteria bacterium GW2011_GWA2_47_12 TX81_C0033, whole genome shotgun sequence.
GGGCCCGUAGCUCAAUGGCAGUAGCGCUUCAAUGGCAUUGAAGAGGUUAGGGGUUCAACUCCCCUCGGGUCCA